AUGCCCAUGUUCUGGAGGUUGGCGCUACAUAAAACUAUUGAGAUAGUCGGAGCUUGCCUUCACCUAUUAUGCUCUCUGGUGCAAAUCCCUAAAAGAUGUGUAAGCAAAUAUUCGACAAGCUCGGGCUCAGAGAGUGGACCCUGGAUAGGGUAUACGCUCUCGACAAGUCUGCACAGUGGAGAUGUGUUGGAGGGCACAAAUGAAAGACUUUCAUCAGUCAGCGAUGCAGAGUUCCCGGCAGAAAGCCCUAGGGAGCUCUCAGAUAAUGGGAUGAGCCGUUCACGAAGCUCCAUGAAGAUCCAAGAACUGGAUAGGUACAUUGAAUUGCUACAUCAGGACGUGGCACUAAUGAGGCAGGAACUCGGGGGAGUUCGCACAAGUCAGCAGGAAGUAGCAGAAGCAGUUGAUGAUAUAAAGGAAUGCAAAUAUCAUCUCUCUCUCUCUCUCUCUCUCUCUCUCUCUCUCUCUCUCUCUCUUAUGGAGCUUCAAGUAUGUGAUCCCUAA
rnacentral:rRNA from 1 species